AUUGCUAGUAAUGGCAGGUCAGCAUACUGCCGUGAAUACGUUCCCGGGCCUUGUACACACCGCCCGUCACACCAUGAGAGUUGGGGAUACCCGAAGCCUGUGAGCCAACUAUAUAGAGGCAGCAGUCGAAGGUAGAAUCAAUGAUUGGGGUGAAGUCGUAACAAGGUAAC
rnacentral:rRNA from 1 species